ACACACCCGGGCGGGUAGAGCGAGCUUUGACCUGUGGGAGGACCCCUGCCCCACGGGGCGGGGGGGGAAGAACCCUCGUCUCCUGUGUCUCUCUGGGGAGAAGAGCCCUGCCCUGCGGGAUCCCCUGGGAAGGGCUGUUCCCCAUGCGAUCCCCACAACUUGGGGGAGGAUGGAGCAUGCCAAGUCCUGCUAGGGGAAGAAGAGCCCUGGCUUACUUAGGGUCCCCCAACUCUUUAGAGGAAAUCUCUUAAUUCCCCCUAAAGGAGUGAGGUGGCACCAGCUCUCCAUCUUCCUGGUAAGGCUUCUCACAAGAGACCCCAACACCCCCCUCUUCCCUUUAACUGUUGCAGUCUCUUUGGGCAGAUAUUAGCAAGAGAGGCUCCCUGGCCCCUUGGAGAUGGAGUCCAUCUGCACUACAAACACAAGUGUACUUGGGGACCCUGCAGAGUUAAUUAAUCCAACAGAGUUAAUUCCUUAUUGUAAUGAGGGGACUAUGGAUAUAUCUUCAAACAACGCUGAAGGCUCCAGCUGGAACGUGAUCCGAGGUCACAGUUAAGGUCUCAUCCAUUCUUCAAUGUGGGGGUUAAACCAUGCUUUAACAGAGGUUCAUGGAGUAACAUUAGCCUUGUGCAGAUGUUUCCUGACUUUUGCAUCCAUGAUGUAUUAGCCAUCUGAUCUGUCAUUAACAAGGCUGGAAAACUUGCUACCACUGACCUGUCAGAGAGAAAAAUCCAAGCCAUAGAAUGUUUUAAUCAACAAAACUGAAAAAAAGAUGAAGCAGCAGUUGCACUUUUUUGCUUUUUCCUAAUAGCUUUCUUUAAAAACGAUCAUUGCUUAGCCCAUAAUAUUGCUUUUGCUACUGUUCAGAUCACCUGUAUUUACAGUAGAACCUCAGAGUUAUGAGCACAGCAGGAAUGGAGUUUGUUCGUAACUCUGAAAUGUUUGUACCUCUGAACAAAAUGUUACAGUUGUUCUUUCGAAAGUUUACAACUGAACAUUGACUUAAUACAGCUUUGAAACUGUACUAUGCGGACGAAGAAUGCCGCUUUCCCUUUUUUUAGUAGUUUACGUUUAACACAGUACUGUACUAUAUUUGCCUUUUUUUUUUUUUU